CCUACGGGAGGCUGCAGUUAGGAAUCUUCGGCAAUGGGCGCAAGCCUGACCGAGCGACACUGCAUGAGGGAUGACGGCCUUCGGGUUGUAAACCUCUGAACCAGGGACGAUAAUGACGGUACCUGGGUAAUAGCACCGGCUAACUCCGUGCCAGCAGCCGCGGUAAUACGGAGGGUGCAAGCGUUAUCCGGAAUCACUGGGCGUAAAGGGCGCGUAGGCGGUCUGUUAAGUCCGAUGUUAAAGACCGGGGCUCAACCCCGAUAUGGCGUUGGAUA
rnacentral:rRNA from 1 species